UACGUAGGGUGCGAGCGUUAAUCGGAAUUACUGGGCGUAAAGCGUGCGCAGGCGGUUUUGUAAGCCAGAUGUGAAAUCCCCGGGCUUAACCUGGGAAUGGCAUUUGGGACUGCAAGGCUGGAGUGUGGCAGAGGAGACUGGAAUUCCCGGUGUAGCAGUGAAAUGCGUAGAUAUCGGGAGGAACAUCAGUGGCGAAGGCGGCUACCUGGAUUAACACUGACACUGAGGCACGAAAGCGUGGGUAGCAAACAGG
rnacentral:rRNA from 1 species